rnacentral:lncRNA from 1 species
GGAUAUCUUCUGUUUGAGCCCUGGAUCCACUCUCCACCUGCGUUGGCUGGACCUGUGAGCAGCUCUGCCUUGUGACUCGCUAGGGUCUGGCUGACGGUCAGCUCCUGCAGGAGGUCUGAGGGAGAAAGGAGAAUGCGGUCAGGCCCCUGUUCCCUUCGCUCUUACUGUGAGGUCAUCUCAGGCUGGCUGUCUUUCCACACCUCUUAAGCCACCUGGGGCAAGACGACUGUAAAAAGCCAUGGGACACCUUCUUCAAGCUUCAAGUUCAAGAGAAUGAGAGCCGUCACUCUUCCAGUGGAACACGUGACCUGAUUGAUUAUGUCUUAUUCACACGUCCAGCCCUGAAGCUGUGGUGGCGUCAACUCAUCUUGAAGCACGUGGAUGGGGUUGGAGAGGAGGAUCAUCUGCAGGGAUGCUGCCCUCCGAUAACUACCGUAAGUGGAGAAUGAAACUACUGCCACUCAAUGAUCAACGCAUGGCUUCUUCCAUCAAGAAAAUCUUAUCUAAAAAAAAGAGCCGUGUUCCAGCUAAACCGGAC